UACGAAGGGGGCUAGCGUUGCUCGGAAUCACUGGGCGUAAAGCGCACGUAGGCGGAUUGUUAAGUCAGGGGUGAAAUCCUGGAGCUCAACUCCAGAACUGCCUUUGAUACUGUCGAUCUUGAGUCCGGAAGAGGUGGGUGGAAUUCCUAGUGUAGAGGUGAAAUUCGUAGAUAUUAGGAAGAACACCGGUGGCGAAGGCGGCCCACUGGUCCGGUACUGACGCUGAGGUGCGAAAGCGUGGGGAGCAAACAGG
rnacentral:rRNA from 1 species